UAGAUAGGUAGGGAGCUUCCUUUAGUCCAUUCACAGAUCAUGAUAUGAUCCAAUUAGCUUCCGACUCAUCCAUCCAAAUACCGAGUCACGAAAAUUUCAACUUAGACUCGUUAAAUGAAUGAAUGAUGCGGUAGACAAAUUGGAUCAUUGAUUCUCUCUGAUUGGACUGAAGGGAGCUCCCUCCUUUCAUUGU
rfam:Brassica napus, WGS project CCCW01000000 data, contig: 5035